GAUGAACGUUGGCGGCGUGCCUAACACAUGCAAGUCGAACGGACCCAAUUCUUCGGAUGAGGGUUAGUGGCAAACGGGUGAGUAACACGUAGGUGACCUGCCCCGAAGUGGGGGAUAACAACUGGAAACGGUUGCUAAUACCGCAUGUGCUCGACGAUUCAUUUCGUCGAGUAAAGUUCCGGCGGUUCGGGAGGGGCCCGCGGUCGAUUAGCUAGUUGGUAGGGGAAUGGCCUACCAAGGCGAUGAUCGAUAGGGGGCGUGAGAGCGCGACCCCUCACACUGGGACUGUGACACGGCCCAGACUCCUACGGGAGGCAGCAGUGAGGAAUAUUGCACAAUGGGCGCAAGCCUGAUGCAGCAACGCCGCGUGAGGGACGAAGGCCUUCGGGUCGUAAACCUCUUUUCUGAGGGACGAGAAAGGACGGUACCUCAGGAAUAAGUCUCGGCUAACUACGUGCCAGCCGCCGCCGUAAAAC
rnacentral:rRNA from 1 species